AGUGAACGCUGGCGGUAGGCCUAACACAUGCAAGUCGAACGGCAGCACAGUAAGAGCUUGCUCUUACGGGUGGCGAGUGGCGGACGGGUGAGGAAUACAUCGGAAUCUACUUUUUCGUGGGGGAUAACGUAGGGAAACUUACGCUAAUACCGCAUACGACCUACGGGUGAAAGCAGGGGUUGUCGGACCUUGCGCGUAUGGAUGAGCCGAUGUCGGAUUAGCUAGGUGGCGGGGUAAAGGCCCACCAAGGGCACGACCCGUACGUGGUCUGAGAGGAUGAUCAGCCACACUGGAACUGAGACACGGUCCAGACUCCUACGGGAGGCAGCAGUGGGGAAUAUUGGACAAUGGGCGCAAGCCUGAUCCAGCCAUACCGCGUGGGUGAAGAAGGACUUCGGGUUGUAAAGCCCUUUUGUUGGGAAAGAAAAGCAGCAGGUUAAUCCCCCGCUGUACUGACGGUACCCAAAGAAUAAGCACCGGCUAACUUCGUG
rnacentral:rRNA from 1 species